rnacentral:rRNA from 1 species
CAUCGCUCCUUGUGUAAAAUAGAUAGGGAGUCGGACCUGCCCAGUGAAUUUUCAACGGCCGCGGUACUCUGACCGUGCAAAGGUAGCAUAAUAAUUUGCCUUAUAAUUGAAGGCUAGUAUGAAUGGUUUGACGAGAAUAAAGCUGUCUCUUUACAAUUCUAUAGAAAUUUAUUUAUGGAUGAAAAAGUCCAUAUAUAAUUAAUAGACAAGAAGACCCUAUCGAGCUUAAAAAAAUUUAGUAGAUUUAAAACCUAUUAUGCUUUAUAAUGUCACCUACUAAGAAUUUUAGUUGGGGCGACUAAGGAACAACUAAAGCUUCCUUAAUUAUCUAUUUUACUAAUAAGUAUUGAUCCAAGAAUAUCUUGAUUAAUAAAAUUAGUUACCGUAGGGAUAACAGCAUUAUCUUUUUUAAGAGCUCUUAUCGAAAAAAAGGUUUGUGACCUCGAUGUUGGACCAGAAUGUCCUGAAGAUGCAGCAGUCUUUAAGGGUUGGUCUGUUCGACCAUUAAUAUUCUACGUGAUCUGAGUUCA